rnacentral:rRNA from 1 species
GAUGAACGCUAGCUACAGGCUUAACACAUGCAAGUCGAGGGGCAGCAUUUUAGUUUGCUUGCAAACUAAAGAUGGCGACCGGCGCACGGGUGAGUAACACGUAUCCAACCUGCCGAUAACUCGGGGAUAGCCUUUCGAAAGAAAGAUUAAUAUCCGAUAGUAUAUUAAAACCGCAUGGUUUUACUAUUAAAGAAUUUCGGUUAUCGAUAGGCAUGCGUUCCAUUAGGCAGUUGGCGGGGUAACGGCCCACCAAACCGACGAUGGAUAGGGGUUCUGAGAGGAAGGUCCCCCACAUUGGUACUGAGACACGGACCAA